AAAGAUUUUGGGGCCGGCAUCUUUGUUAGCAAAGUCCACUGGAACGUGGCACCACAGAGGGUGAUAGUCCCGUUUUGACAAAGGCCCAACCCAAAUUCCAAGAGUCGAGUUGUUUGGGAAUGCAGCUCUAAAUGGGUGGUAAAUUCCAUCUAAAGCUAAAUAUUGGCGAGAGACCGAUAGCGAACAAGUACAGUGAUGGAAAGAUGAAAAGCACUUUGAAAAGAGAGUGAAAUAGUACGUGAAAUUGCUGAAAGGGAAGGGCUUGCAGGCGGACACAAGUUGCAAAACUUGGGCUGGCAUCAGGGAGAGCGGAGAAAUAUUGGGAGCGUUGUUAGCCCUUUGGGCCCGGGCGCGCCAGGCUUCUCCCGUUUUCCCUGAGGACCGCUUCUUACAGGAUGCCGGCGUAAUGGUUGCAAGCCGCCCGUCUUGAAA
rnacentral:rRNA from 1 species